rnacentral:rRNA from 1 species
UAUUACCUCUGGCGGCGUGCCUAAUACAUGCAAGUCGAGCGAACAGAUGAGGAGCUUGCUCCUCUGACGUUAGCGGCGGACGGGUGAGUAACACGUGGAUAACCUACCUAUAAGACUGGGAUAACUUCGGGAAACCGGAGCUAAUACCGGAUAAUAUAUUGAACCGCAUGGUUCAAUAGUGAAAGACGGUUUUGCUGUCACUUAUAGAUGGAUCCGCGCCGCAUUAGCUAGUUGGUAAGGUAACGGCUUACCAAGGCAACGAUGCGUAGCCGACCUGAGAGGGUGAUCGGUCACACUGGAACUGAGACACGGUCCAGACCCCUACGGGAGGCAGCAGUAGGGAAUCUUCCGCAAUGGGCGAAAGCCUGACGGAGCAACGCCGCGUGAGUGAUGAAGGUCUUCGGAUCGUAAAACUCUGUUAUUGGGGAAGAACAAAUGUGUAAGUAACUAUGCACGUCUUGACGGUACCUAAUCAGAAAGCCACGGCUAACUACGUG